rnacentral:lncRNA from 1 species
AGUUGAGUACAUAUAGGACGGUCUAGUUGAAUGAUUCAGAUUGCUAAAAUAUCCGGGAGUUGAUGCCCAAGGUGGAGGCGGAUAAGCAGAGUACUGUGGGAAUUGAGUCUGAGCACGUGGCGGUAAUUGUUGAGGCUGAGGAUGAAGUUCUAGCUGAGUUCUAGGUUGUUGGUUCAGUUCAGUUUGUAAAGGACAUUGUGGAAGCUGUUGCGAGGUAUGCUGAGAUUGUAAUGAUGAUUCUUGGGGAUACUGUGGUUGAGGCCGAGGAUGAGGUUGAUGCAGAGGCUGGGCUUGAGGUUGGGCCUGGGCCUGGGUCUGGAACUGCGCUUGGGUUGGGGUUUGAAAUUGGUGAUGAUAUUGAGGUUGGGACUGAGGUUGGGACUGAGGUUGAAACUGAGGAGGAAACUGAGGUUGCGACUGAGAUUGAGGUUGGGGUUGGGGCUGAGUCUGAGCCCAAGGAGCUACAUAACUGUUAAAGCUCUGAUCUUGAUAUCCAAGAUAAGCUUGAGAUGCAUAUGGAUUCCCUUGCGUGGUUGAGGCAACAGGCUCCUGAUGCGUGCUAUGAUUGGCUGAAGCAGAAUUUUGUGGGGUCUCGGGAUAUAUACUUGAUGACAAGGUCAGGCUCAAGAGAUCAAUUAUAUCUUGUUCUUUCGUGGGCAUAGCAGUUGGAGGCGGAUCUCGAAGAAUCAAUGCAUUGCUUGUGACAGGAUCCAAUGAUUCUCCCGUAGAAUUGCUAUUAUAGGCAGAGACCAUACCUUCACUUGUUUGCGCUGCUGGACUUGUUUUUGAAUGUCUGCAUCAGCACAAGCGACAACUUCAUUAGAGAAGACAGACCCAAAGCUGUAAAUACAUCAUAAAUCGCAGUUAGUACUUUUGACUUCCAAUAACAUUUAAGGGCAACAUAGUGCACUAAGCUCCCGCUAUGUGCGAGGUCCGGGAAGGACCGGACCACAUUGGAUCUUAUGUAUGCAGCCUUACCAUGCAUUUCUGCAAGAGGCUUGCCGUGAUUAAAUCCAAAUAAAAGUCACUAGCCUUUAUAUUGAGAACUACCCACCCCCCUUCCUUUCUUCAACCAUCUGAACCUUUUGGAAAACCAAAACGACAAUUAAGAAGUACAAUAACGGUCACAACUACAUAAAAAUUUCCUUCCUAUGAAAGUAAUAGCCUGAAAAUCUUGAUCUCUGCCAUGCAUCCACAGCUCUGCAUAAGAGCAAUGAGUUGUUUUAUAUUGGAAGUAAAUGCAGGUUUUGUAUAUUUACCUUCGAGCUAACUGGGCAAAGUCAUCUUCUUCAUCUUCCUCUUCAUCAAUUUGACCUGCUGUUGGUGCAAGAACUGGUGCAGAAGGUUUUGCAUCUGCUGCUGGAGUAGGUGGCUCAACUUCAGCAGGUUUGAGGCUUGGAUCAUGCAUUUCUCUAGCUGAGAUGUUGUUGUUUGGGACUUCAGUUGGAAGUGGAGAACCAGAAGCUAUUGCGUCAUGUUUAGCCAGCACCAUUUGGAGGUUAUCAUUUAAUUCAAGACCCUGAGCCAGAAGUUCUUCAUC